rnacentral:snRNA from 1 species
GUAUGUGAGGGCAAUCUAGCUGUGACAUCUGUCACCUCAUUGAUGGCCAGCAUCGAUCUGGAUGGCUAGGCAGGUGUCCUCUUCUUCCCUCCAGAAGCUGCACAUUCUGGAAUAAAGACAGACCAGGCUUGGGUCAAGUGUAUACAAAUUAUUGUGGUCCCCUGCUAUAAUUUCCAAACAAGCUCUACAGACACUGAAUUAUAGUUUUGUACACUUGAAGUCCAUGUAAUGCUAUGAACGAUUCAUACUUCACUGAAAC